ACUACAAGUGAAAAACUUAAAACUCAAAGGACUUGACGGUGUCCCAUAUCGACCUAGAGGAGCCUGUCCUAUAAUCGAUACCCCCCGCUCCACCCAACCCCAACUAGCAUACGUCAGCCUAUAUACCGCCGUCGAUCAGCCUACCCUAUGAAAGUCCAACAGUAGACACAAUAGCCCCACCGCUAAUACGUCAGGUCAAGGUGUAGCAAAUGUUGUGGAAGAGAUUGGCUACAUUUUUUAUUAUAAAAAAUACGAAAUAUACCAUGAAACAGUAUAUGAAGGUGAAUUUAGUAGUAAAAUAAACAAGAGUGUUUAUUUUAACAACGCUCUGGGACGCGUACACACCGCC
rnacentral:rRNA from 2 species